UAGAUGGAGGUUUGAAAUCGUUGAAAUCGUUUAACCUAAAUCCUCUUUUUCAAUCAUUCAGUUCUAGCGAGUAGGUUUCUUUCCGAAUUCGCAGACGCUAAUGGCGAAGCCAAGUACCUCAACAUCCUGCAAGAUGUUGCGAACCACAAAGCUCGAUCUGUUGAAAUUGAUCUCGACGACUUAAUGAACUAUAAGGAUCUAGAUGAGGAUUUUUUGACGCGAGUUACUGAGAAUACGAGAAGAUAUGUAGGGAUUUUUGCUGAUGCGAUCGACGAGCUCAUGCCGGAGCCUACUGAGACGUUUGUGGAUGAUGAUCAUGAUAUUUUGAUGACUCAGAGAUCUGAUGAAGGAACUGAAGGUGCUGAUGGUUC